rnacentral:rRNA from 1 species
GACGAACGCUGGCGGCGUGCUUAACACAUGCAAGUCGAACGGAAAGGCCCUGCUUUUGUGGGGUGCUCGAGUGGCGAACGGGUGAGUAACACGUGAGUAACCUGCCCUUGACUUUGGGAUAACUUCAGGAAACUGGGGCUAAUACCGGAUAGGAGCUCCUGCUGCAUGGUGGGGGUUGGAAAGUUUCGGCGGUUGGGGAUGGACUCGCGGCUUAUCAGCUUGUUGGUGGGGUAGUGGCUUACCAAGGCUUUGACGGGUAGCCGGCCUGAGAGGGUGACCGGCCACAUUGGGACUGCGAUACGGCCCAGACUCCUACGGGAGGCAGCAGUGGGGAAUAUAGCACAAUGGGCGGAAGCCUGAUGCAGCAACGCCGCGUGCGGGAUGACGGCCUUCGGGUUGUAAACCGCUUUCGCCUGUGACGAAGCGUGAGUGACGGUAAUGGGUAAAGAAGCACCGGCUAACUACGUG